CAGCCGCCGCGGGAAUACGUAGGUGGCAAGCGUUGUCCGGAUUUAUUGGGCGUAAAGCGAGCGCAGGCGGUUUCUUAAGUCUGAUGUGAAAGCCCCCGGCUCAACCGGGGAGGGUCAUUGGAAACUGGGAAACUUGAGUGCAGAAGAGGAGAGUGGAAUUCCAUGUGUAGCGGUGAAAUGCGUAGAUAUAUGGAGGAACACCAGUGGCGAAGGCGGCUCUCUGGUCUGCAACUGGCGCUGAGGCUCGAAAGCGUGGGGAGCAAACAGGAUUAGAUACCCCCGUAGUCCCUGUCUCUUAUAC
rnacentral:rRNA from 1 species